UAGGGAAUCUUCCACAAUGGACGCAAGUCUGAUGGAGCAACGCCGCGAGUGAAGAAGGGUUUCGGCUCGUAAAGCUCUGUUGUUAAAGAAGAACGUGGGUAAGAGUAACUGUUUACCCAGUGACGGUAUUUAACCAGAAAGCCACGGCUAACUACGUGCCAA
rnacentral:rRNA from 1 species